rnacentral:rRNA from 1 species
UCCUGGGGCGAGUAUGACGGAGCACGCCGCGUGAGGGAGGAAUGUCUGUGGAUUGUAAACCUCUUUUCUCUGGGAAGAAGAUCUGACGGUACCUGAGGAAUCAGCAUCGGCUAACUCCGUGCCAGCAGCCGCGGUAAGACGGAGGAUGCAAGCGUUAUCCGGAAUUAUUGGGCGUAAAGCGUCCGUAGGCGGUCACUUAAGUCAGUUGUUAAAGACUGCAGCUCAACUGUGGGAGAGCAACUGAAACUGGGAGACUAGAGUAUGGUAGGGGUAGAGGGAAUUCCUAGUGUAGCGGUGAAAUGCGUAGAUAUUAGGAAGAACACCAGUGGCGAAGGCGCUCUACUGGGCCAAGACUGACGCUGAUGGACGAAAGCUAGGGGAGCGAAAGGGAUUAGAUACCCCCUGUAGUCCA